GUGCGGAGCCGUAGCGAAAGCGAGUUUUAACUGAGCGUUCAGUUACUUGACGUAGACCCGAAACCGGGCGACCUACCCAUGAGCAGGAUGAAGCGAAAGUAAAAUUUCGUGGAGGUCCGAACCCACGAGCGUUGAAAAGCUCGGGGAUGACUUGUGGGUAGCGGUGAAAUUCCAAUCGAGCCCGGAGAUAGCUGGUUCUCCCCGAAAUAGCUUUAGGGCUAGCCUCAAGGUGAGAGAUACGGAGGUAGAGCACUGAAUGUCCUAGGGGGUAUUGCACCUACCGAAGACUAUCAAACUCCGAAUGCCGUCAUCUUAUACUUGGGAGUCAGACUGUGGGUGAUAAGAUUCAUAGUCGAAAGGGCAACAGCCCAGAUCGUCAGCUAAGGUCCCUAAAUGUAAGUUAAGUGGUAAAGGAUGUGGGAUUGCACAGACAACCAGGAUGUUGGCUUAGAAGCAGCCACUCAUUCAAAGAGUGCGUAAUAGCUCACUGGUCGAGUGAUCCUGCGCCGAAGAUUUCCGGGGCUAAAACUUACUACCGAAGCUACGGCAUCAGUAAUGAUGGGUAGGGGAGCUUCCCAUACGGGUUGAAGCAUGACCGUAAGGACAUGUGGACAGUAUGGGAGUGAGAAUGUUGGCAUGAGUAGCGAGAUGUGGGUGAGAAUCCCACAGGCCGUAAACCCAAGGUUUCCAGGGGAAGGUUCGUCCGCCCUGGGUUAGUCGGGACCUAAGCUGAGGCCGAAAGGCGUAGGUGAUGGACAACAGGUUGAUAUUCCUGUACUACCGAUAACCGUUUGAGAGAAGGGAUGACACAGUAGGAUAAGCUAAGCACACUGUUGGUUAUGUGUGCCCAAGCAUUGAGGCAGUCAAAGUAGGCAAAUCCGCUUUGAUAAUGCUGGGAUGUGAUGGGGAGCGAAAUUUAGUAGCGAAGUAGCUGAUUUCACACUGUCAAGAAAAGUCUCUAUCGAGGUUAAAGGUACCCGUACCGCAAACCGACACAGGUGGGUGAGGAGAGUAUCCUAAGGCCAGCGAGAGAACUGUUGUUAAGGAACUCGGCAAAAUGACCCCGUAACUUAGGGAUAAGGGGUGCCACCAUCAGGUGGCCGCAGAGAAUAGGCCCAAGCGACUGUUUACCAAAAACAUAGGUUUCUGCUAAGUCGCAAGACGAUGUAUAGGAGCUGACGCCUGCCCGGUGCUGGAAGGUUAAGGGGAUCUGUUAGAGCAAUCGAAGCAGUGAACUUAAGCCCCAGUAAACGGCGGCCGUAACUAUAACGGUCCUAAGGUAGCGAAAUUCCUUGUCGGGUAAGUUCCGACCCGCACGAAAGGCGUAACGAUUUGGGCACUGUCUCAACAACAGACUCGGUGAAAUUGUAAUUCCGGUGAAGAUGCCGGAUACCUGCGACAGGACGGAAAGACCCCAUGGAGCUUUACUGUAGCUUGACAUUGGGUCUUGGUACUACAUGUACAGGAUAGGUGGGAGGCUUUGAAACCAGGACGCCAGUUUUGGCGGAGCCAUCCUUGGGAUACCACCCUUGUAGUACUGGGACUCUAACCAUAGGCCAUGAAUCUGGUCUUGGGACACUGUCAGGUGGGCAGUUUGACUGGGGCGGUCGCCUCCCAAAAGGUAACGGAGGCGCUCAAAGGUUCUCUCAGUACGGUCGGAAAUCGUACGUAGAGUGUAAAGGCAAAAGAGAGCUUGAUUGCAAGACAUACAGGUCGAGCAAGGAUGAAAAUCGGACUUAGUGAUCCGGUGGUUCUGCGUGGAAGGGCCAUCGCUCAACGGAUAAAAGCUACCCUGGGGAUAACAGGCUUAUCUCCCCCAAGAGUCCACAUCGACGGGGAGGUUUGGCACCUCGAUGUCGGCUCAUCACAUCCUGGGGCUGUAGUAGGUCCCAAGGGUUGGGCUGUUCGCCCAUUAAAGUGGUACGCGAGCUGGGUUCAGAACGUCGUGAGACAGUUCGGUCCCUAUCCGUCGCAGGCGUAGGAAAUUUGAGAAGACCUGUCCUUAGUACGAGAGGACCGGGAUGGACG
rnacentral:rRNA from 1 species